rnacentral:rRNA from 1 species
AUUGAACGCUGGCGGCAGGCCUAACACAUGCAAGUCGAACGGUAACAGGAAGCAGCUUGCUGCUUCGCUGACGAGUGGCGGACGGGUGAGUAAUGUCUGGGAAGCUGCCUGAUGGAGGGGGAUAACUACUGGAAACGGUAGCUAAUACCGCAUAAUGUCGCAAGACCAAAGAGGGGGACCUUCGGGCCUCUUGCCCUCGGAUGUGCCCAGAUGGGAUUAGCUUGUUGGUGGGGUAACGGCUCACCAAGGCGACGAUCCCUAGCUGGUCUGAGAGGAUGACCAGCCACACUGGAACUGAGACACGGUCCAGACUCCUACGGGAGGCAGCAGUGGGGAAUAUUGCACAAUGGGCGCAAGCCUGAUGCAGCCAUGCCGCGUGUAUGAAGAAGGCCUUCGGGUUGUAAAGUACUUUCAGCGGGGAGGAAGGGAGUAAAGUUAAUACCUUGGCUCAUUGACGUUACCCGCAGAAGAAGCACCGGCUAACUCCGUG